AUUGAACGCUGGCGGCAUGCCUUACACAUGCAAGUCGAACGGUAACAGGUCUUCGGAUGCUGACGAGUGGCGAACGGGUGAGUAAUAUAUCGGAACGUGCCCAGUCGUGGGGGAUAACGCAGCGAAAGCUGUGCUAAUACCGCAUACGAUCUAUGGAUGAAAGCGGGGGAUCGCAAGACCUCGCGCGAUUGGAGCGGCCGAUAUCAGAUUAGGUAGUUGGUGGGGUAAAGGCCCACCAAGCCAACGAUCUGUAGCUGGUCUGAGAGGACGACCAGCGACACUGGAACUGAGACACGGUCCAGACUCCUACGGGAGGCAGCAGUGGGGAAUUUUGGACAAUGGGCGCAAGCCUGAUCCAGCAAUGCCGCGUGCAGGAUGAAGGCCUUCGGGUCGUAAACUGCUUUUGUACGGAACGAAAAGGCUCUGGUUAAUACCUGGGGCUCAUGACGGUACCGUAAGAAUAAGCACCGGCUAACUACGUGCCAGCAGCCGCCGUAA
rnacentral:rRNA from 1 species